GACGAACGCUGGCGGCGUGCCUAAUACAUGCAAGUAGAACGCACAGUUUAUACCGUAGCUUGCUACACCAUAGACUGUGAGUUGCGAACGGGUGAGUAACGCGUAGGUAACCUGCCUGGUAGCGGGGGAUAACUAUUGGAAACGAUAGCUAAUACCGCAUAAUAUUAAUUAUUGCAUGAUAAUUAAUUGAAAGGUGCAAUUGCACCACUACCAGAUGGACCUGCGUUGUAUUAGCUAGUAGGUGAGGUAACGGCUCACCUAGGCGACGAUACAUAGCCGACCUGGGAGGGUGAUCGGCCACAAUGGGACUGGGACACGGCCCAGACUCCUACGGGAGGCAGCAGUAGGGAAUCUUCGGCAAUGGACGAAAGUCUGAACGAGGAACGCCGGGGGAGUGAAGAAAGGUUUCGGAUCGGAAAGCUCUGUUGUAAGAGAAGAAAGGGUGUGAGAGUGGAAAGUUCACACUGUGACGGCAUCUUACCAGAAAGGGACGGCUAACUACGUG
rnacentral:rRNA from 1 species